rnacentral:rRNA from 1 species
AGUGAACGCUGGCGGUAGGCCUAACACAUGCAAGUCGAACGGCAGCACAGAGGGGCUUGCUCCUUGGGUGGCGAGUGGCGGACGGGUGAGGAAUACAUCGGAAUCUACUCUGUCGUGGGGGAUAACGUAGGGAAACUUACGCUAAUACCGCAUACGACCUACGGGUGAAAGCAGGGGACCUUCGGGCCUUGCGCGAUUGAAUGAGCCGAUGUCGGAUUAGCUAGUUGGCGGGGUAAAGGCCCACCAAGGCGACGAUCCGUAGCUGGUCUGAGGGGAUGAUCAGCCACACUGGAACUGAGGCACGGUCCAGACUCCUACGGGAGGCAGCGGUGGGGAAUAUUGGACAAUGGGCGCAAGCCUGAUCCAGCCAUACCGCGUGGGUGAAGAAGGCCUUCGGGUUGUAAAGCCCUUUUGUUGGGAAAGAAAUCCAGCUGGCUAAUACCCGGUUGGGAUGACGGUACCCAAAGAAUAAGCACCGGCUAACUUCGUGCCAGCCGCCGCAGUAA